GUUGAUUGAUAGAGGAACCAGUGGAUGAAUUUGUAAUAGAAAAAUAUAUUGAAAUAAGUAUAAGUACAGAUAUAGUGUAUGAGGUCAGAAUCAAAUAAAUUGUUAUCAUAAUUUAUUAAUUUAAUGUGUGAUAUUGUUGAGGUUGACUGAUGGAGGAACCAGUGGAUGAAUUUGUAAUAGAAAAAUAUAUUAAAAUAAGUAUAGGUACAGGUACACUGUAUGAGGUCAAAAUCAAAUAAAUUGUUAUUAUUAUUUAUUAAUCUAAUGUGUGAUAUUGUUGAGGUUGAUUGAUCGAGGAACCAGUGGAUAAAUUUGUAAUAGAAAAAUACAUUGAAAUAAGUAUAAGUACAGAUAUAGUGUAUGUUGAUCCAGAUCCUCACUCUUACAGUGUUACAAUACAAAAGAA
rnacentral:misc_RNA from 1 species